rnacentral:rRNA from 1 species
ACGUAUGGUGCAAGCGUUAUCCGGAUUUACUGGGUGUAAAGGGAGCGCAGGCGGUACGGCAAGUCUGAUGUGAAAGCCCGGGGCUCAACUCCGGUACUGCAUUGGAAACUGUCGGACUAGAGUGUCGGAGGGGUAAGUGGAAUUCCUAGUGUAGCGGUGAAAUGCGUAGAUAUUAGGAGGAACACCAGUGGCGAAGGCGGCUUACUGGACGAUUACUGACGCUGAGGCUCGAAAGCGUGGGGAGCAAACAG